rnacentral:rRNA from 1 species
CACGUAGGGCGCAAGCGUUGUCCGGAAUUAUUGGGCGUAAAGAGCUCGUAGGCGGCCUGUUGCGUCCGCUGUGAAAACUCGGGGCUUAACCCCGAGCCUGCAGUGGAUACGGGCAGACUAGAGGUAGGUAGGGGAGAUUGGAAUUCCUGGUGUAGCGGUGGAAUGCGCAGAUAUCAGGAGGAACACCAAUGGCGAAGGCAGAUCUCUGGGCCGUAACUGACGCUGAGGAGCGAAAGCAUGGGGAGCGAACAGG